AUUGAACGCUGGCGGCAUGCUUUACACAUGCAAGUCGAACGGCAGCACGGGGGCAACCCUGGUGGCGAGUGGCGAACGGGUGAGUAAUGCAUCGGAACGUGCCCCGUCGUGGGGGAUAACACAUCGAAAGAUGUGCUAAUACCGCAUACGACCUGAGGGUGAAAGCGGGGGACCGCAAGGACUCGCGCCGUGGGAGAGGCCGAAGUCUGAUUAGCGAAUUGGUGGGGUAGAGGCCUACCAAGGAGACGAUCAGUAGCUGGUCUGAGAGGACGACCAGCCACACUGGGACUGAGACACGGCCCAGACUCCUACGGGAGGCAGCAGUGGGGAAUUUUGGACAAUGGGGGCAACCCUGAUCCAGCCAUGCCGCGUGCGGGAAGAAGGCCUUCGGGUUGUAAACCGCUUUUGGCAGGAACGAAACGGUGCGGGCGAAUACCCUGUGCUAAUGACGGUACCUGCAGAAUAAGCACCGGCUAACUACGUGCCAGCAGCCGCCGUAACAC
rnacentral:rRNA from 1 species